CAAAAAUAUUCAAAGUAAUACAAGGUUAGUAAGCAAGAUGAAUGCUAACAUAAAGAAGGUUAGGGGCUUGAUACUGUAAGUUCCUCUUGAAGGGAGUAACUCCUAGCGACGUUGAUCCCCAAGCUCUUGUGUUAUGGCCAUUAACUCGAUCUUCGGGUAUAAAUGGAGUUACAAUCGAAACUCUAACUCCUGAGUUUACAUGAAAAAUAAAAGAUAUGGAUUAGAAAAGAUAAAAUAAUUUAAUAAGGUAAGAAUGAAAAACAGAGAAUUCUUAAACAAGAGUUACUAGGAGCAGAUCACUCUAUUUGUUUCUUCUUAUGAACUCGACCACUUGACUAAACAGAGCACACAGAAUCAUGAUACACACUUCAAUCAUGUGAAUGUUUAUACCCCAUAUAAUUUAGCUAAACCCAAUUUCAAUUGGAAAAACACCCCUUGAUGUUAAUAUGUAUGCAAUAACCCAACCUUUUGGGACUCUCAGAGAAGUAUAUUAUGUACAAAACUCCAUCAUGAUAAUUAAUACACACAAAGUGGUCAAAAGAAUAAAAUGAGAUCGAUAACAAAUAAAUGACUACUAGCAGGAAGAUUACAUGUUCUUCACGCUUACCAAUUUACGAGCACAUGAUGUAUCUGCUAGUUCAAUAAUGUUUUCCAUACAUGUAAUAAAUAAUUGUUUUAAAAAUGAAAAGCUGGAAAGCUACGUGCACAAAAAUCUCCCUAUCUUUAGUAAAGAAAUUGGCUUUGUAGAUGCCAUAUUUUGGCAUAACCAAAGUUCGAUUUGGAUGUUGUGAAUACAAAUCCAUUCACCAUUUUAGAACCACGUAAAAUAUGAAAUCAAUUUUAAAGAAAGGGGAUGAGAAAGCCAUAACAUUAGAAUUCUAGUUUGCAAAUUCAUGGGUAGAUUACCACAUCAGUAAGAACUCAUUAUCGAAAUCGAACUAAGGGAAACAACAUUUCUUAAAGUUGCCAGCAAAAUGGAUCAAAUGACAAGCGGAGGGGGGGGGGAUGGGGGGAAAGUAAGGGUUCACAUAUUUAUACUCAAGAUUUAUUUCAUUUGACUCAACUUGAAAUUAGUCACAAAUGCUAGUCAUUCUAAAUUCACCUAAGCACUAUUAGAACUCAAAAUUUUAAACCCAAUAGUUGGAAAAGAUUCUUAAUGUUGAAUUGCCAGAGAUGACGUUUGAUAGGACACAUGAUAUCUUUCAUAGUUUACCCAAUUACAAACAACAGAAGAGGAUAAAAACUAAUAGUAAGCUAGAACAUUAUAAUGGAAGGAAGAAAAGAUCAACCAGUGUUCAUUAAAGUAAUAUGUCAAAGUAUAAUUAUUUUCAUAACUAUGAAAUCAUUCGUAAGUGCAAACAAAGUAUAACAAAUGAAGGACCAGAUUAAUAUUUAUUUUUAGGUUUGAAAUUAGGAUAGAAUAACCAAAGCCAACACUUGAAAUAAACUAAUUGAACUACACUUGUCUUUCAAAAUCCAAUUCAACAGGAGAUUUUCUAAAAUAUUAAAAUGAAAUAAACACGUCAUUGACGCAUUAUUAUGGAAACAUAUUAUCAGAAAUCAAUAAUUUUAUGGAAUCAAAAAUUUAUACUGAGUUACCAAAAUUCAAGAAAAUACCAUGGCUAACAAACUUGACAAAAUUCACCCAAAGAUUUCUUUUCUCGAAUCAAUGGCAAUAACUUAAAUUUUUAUCUAAAUUAAACCAACACAAUAUGUCCACGGAAUCAAAGUGGUAUGAAAGAAGGAAGAUGAAAGUGAGACGAAAGGGCGAAUUCAUACCUUGUGUUGGGUAGCGAACGAGGAACUUUUUGCCAAUUAUUUUGACAAUGAACUUGAUCUUUGAACUCAAAUUCAAUAGGAAUCAUAAAUAAUGAAAAAGUGAGAGUGUGAUGAAUAGGAGAUGAGAUCGCGUGUUAUGUUUUUGUAAACUACUUUCCCUUUUCCCUCAUCAAAAACUUGUCCUCAAAUAGGUAAAAACAUGGGAAUUUAUAUGUGAAUCUAGACUUGAAAUCCUCGAUUCGAAACCCAAAAAAUAAUAAUAAAACCAAUGCCCAAAUCAAAAGGGAUGUAUUUGACAUUCAAAAGUUAAAAGGGUUUCACGAGUUUGGACAAUUUUGUGCAUUUAAUGCAAAUUUGAAAUAAAGUUUUCGUUGAAGCACCGCUUUGGGUCUAAUUUUCUGAUCUUGAAGGGAUUGAUAGUUUGGUAUGUCUAAAAAGGGAGGGGAAUCUUGCAGGGGUGGCAACUAUGGCUGCUACGAUGCAACUAGGAUUGCAUUUUUGGGAAUGGUGAGAAGAGAGGAGGAGAAGAGAAGAGGAGAGGGAGUUCGCCAUUAUUUUUAUUUUGGGAAAAGGAAAGAGACAUAUCAUUGCCUCUUGGGAAAAAGAAAUCACGCGUGGUUGAAAUAUUUUGGGAAAUAAAAAGAAAUUUGAUGUUCUUAUGUUUAUUCUGCAGACUGAAA
rnacentral:lncRNA from 1 species